GACGAACGCUGGCGGCGUGCUUAACACAUGCAAGUCGAACGGAAAGGCCCUGCUUUUGUGGGGUGCUCGAGUGGCGAACGGGUGAGUAACACGUGAGUAACCUGCCCUUGACUUUGGGAUAACUUCAGGAAACUGGGGCUAAUACCGGAUAGGAGCUCCUGCUGCAUGGUGGGGGUUGGAAAGUUUCGGCGGUUGGGGAUGGACUCGCGGCUUAUCAGCUUGUUGGUGGGGUAGUGGCUUACCAAGGCUUUGACGGGUAGCCGGCCUGAGAGGGUGACCGGCCACAUUGGGACUGAGAUACGGCCCAGACUCCUACGGGAGGCAGCAGUGGGGAAUAUUGCACAAUGGGCGGAAGCCUGAUGCAGCAACGCCGCGUGCGGGAGGACGGCCUUCGGGUUGUAAACCGCUUUCGCCUGUGACGAAGCGUGAGUGACGGUAAUGGGUAAGAAGCACCGGCUAACUACGUG
rnacentral:rRNA from 1 species